CUCGCUGCCCCCCUACUCCUGGCACUAUGCGCCCUGGACCAAGUGCUCGGCCCAGUGUGCAGGCGCCAGGUGCAGGCGGUGGAGUGCCGCAACCAGCUGGACAGCUCCGCGGUCGCCCCCCACUACUGCAGUGCCCACAGCAAGCUGCCCAAAAGGCAGCGCGCCUGCAACACGGAGCCUUGCCCUCCAGACUGGGUUGUAGGGAACUGGUCGCUCUGCAGCCGCAGCUGCGAUGCAGGCGUGCG
rnacentral:lncRNA from 1 species